rnacentral:RNase_P_RNA from 1 species
AGGGAGUUGGGGAUGGCCGCUGAUCCACGCGGUGGAUUAGAGGAAAGUCCGAGCUGCACAGAGCAAGGGUGCCCGGUGAAAGCCGGGGAAGCGCGGCAACGCGUUAACAGUCCAUACCGGCGCGUCCCAGGACGCGAGAGCAACAGAAACCAAACCCGCGGGCCACGGCCUGGCGGGCUGAAAAGGGCAAUCCUCCCCGCAGCAAUCUCCGAUUCGACCGUUUGCAGGUUGCUCGCCGAGGUCGGAAGUCGAGAGCAGUCACGAAGGCGACGACGUGACCAGCCUUCAAGGUUGAGAGAGAUGGCCAUCUAGAACAGAACUCGGCUUACUCCUCCUCUCUUGCG